rnacentral:rRNA from 1 species
CCUACGGGAGGCAGCAGUGGGGAAUCUUAGACAAUGGGGGAAACCCUGAUCUAGCCAUGCCGCGUGAUCGAUGAAGGCCUUAGGGUUGUAAAGAUCUUUCAGAUGGGAAGAUAAUGACGGUACCAUCAGAAGAAGCCCCGGCUAACUCCGUGCCAGCAGCCGCGGUAAUACGGAGGGGGCUAGCGUUAUUCGGAAUUACUGGGCGUAAAGCGCACGUAGGCGGAUCAGAAAGUCAGAGGUGAAAUCCCAGGGCUCAACCUUGGAACUGCCUUUGAAACUCCUGGUCUUGAGGUCGAGAGAGGUGAGUGGAAUUCCGAGUGUAGAGGUGAAAUUCGUAGAUAUUCGGAGGAACACCAGUGGCGAAGGCGGCUCACUGGCUCGAUACUGACGCUGAGGUGCGAAAGCGUGGGGAGCAAACAGGAUUAGAUACCCCGGUAGUCCACGCCGUAAACGAUGAAUGCCAGUCGUCGGGUAGCAUGCUAUUCGGUGACANACCUAACGGAUUAAGCAUUCCGCCUGGGGGAGGUACGGUCGCGAGAAGUAAACUAACAAAGAAAGUAAGUAGCGUUGAGAGUUGCCGAAGGACGACGACGAGGGAGGAGG